CAAUAGCGUAUAUUAAAGUUGUUGCAGUUAAAAAGCUCGUAGUUGGACCUUAGACCUGGACAGGCGGUCCGCCUCACGGCGUGUACUGUCUUGCUGGGUCUUUCCUCUUGGUGAUCUGUUGUUUCGGCAGCAGGGAACCAGGACUUUUACUUUGAAAAAAUUAGAGUGUUCAAAGCAGGCUCGACGCCGGAAUAUAUUAGCAUGGAAUAAUAAAAUAGGACGUGCGGUUCUAUUUUGUUGGUUUUUGGAAUCGCCGUAAUGAUUAAUAGGGACAGUCGGGGGCAUUAGUACUCACAUGCUAGAGGUGAAAUUCUUGGAUUUUGUGAAGACUAACUUCUGCGAAAGCAUUUGCCAAGGAUGUUUUCAUUAA
rnacentral:rRNA from 1 species